rnacentral:rRNA from 2 species
AAAUUGAAGAGUUUGAUCAUGGCUCAGAUUGAACGCUGGCGGCAGGCCUAACACAUGCAAGUCGAACGGUAGCACAGAGAGCUUGCUCUCGGGUGACGAGUGGCGGACGGGUGAGUAAUGUCUGGGAAACU